UGUAGUCAUAUGCUUGUCUCAAAGAUUAAGCCAUGCAUGUCUAAGUAUAAGCAAUUAUACAGCGAAACUGCGAAUGGCUCAUUAUAUAAGUUAUCGUUUAUUUGAUAGCACCUUACUACUUGGAUAACCGUGGUAAUUCUAGAGCUAAUACAUGCUAAAAAUCCCGACUUCGGAAGGGAUGUAUUUAUUAGAUUAAAAACCAAUGCCUUCGGGCUUUCUGGUGAUUCAUAAUAACUUCUCGAAUCGCACGGCCUUGCGCCGGCGAUGGUUCAUUCAAAUUUCUUCCCUAUCAACUUUCGAUGCGUAGGUCUUGUCUUCGCAUGGUUACAACGGGUAACGGGGAAUG
rnacentral:rRNA from 1 species